GACCUGAUAGCACAAUGGUUAGUGCCUCUGUUUGAUUGCACCACGUGUAAUCUCUCAGUAGAUGAUCCCCGUUCGAUUCGGGGUCAGGUCA